UUCUAGCUGACGAGUUCCAAAUGGAACAAAACGCGCGUCCUGGAU
rfam:Schistosoma rodhaini strain Burundi genome assembly, scaffold: SROB_scaffold0007148